rnacentral:rRNA from 1 species
UACGUAGGGGGGCUAGCGUUGUCCGGAAUCAUUGGGCGUAAAGCGCGUGUAGGCGGCCCGGUAAGUCCGCUGUGAAAGUCGGGGGCUCAACCCUCGGAUGCCGGUGGAUACUGUCGGGCUCGAGUACGGAAGAGGCGAGUGGAAUUCCUGGUGUAGCGGUGAAAUGCGCAGAUAUCAGGAGGAACACCGAUUGCGAAGGCAGCUCGCUGGGACGUGACUGACGCUGAGACGCGAAAGCGUGGGGAGCAAACAGG